rnacentral:rRNA from 1 species
GCAUAUCAAUAAGCGGAGGAAAAGAAACCAACAGGGAUUGCCCUAGUAACGGCGAGUGAAGCGGCAACAGCUCAAAUUUGAAAUCUGGCUCUUUCAGAGUCCGAGUUGUAAUUUGCAGAGGGCGCUUUGGCUUUGGCAGCGGUCCAAGUUCCUUGGAACAGGACGUCACAGAGGGUGAGAAUCCCGUACGUGGUCGCUAGCUAUUGCCGUGUAAAGCCCCUUCGACGAGUCGAGUUGUUUGGGAAUGCAGCUCUAAAUGGGAGGUAAAUUUCUUCUAAAGCUAAAUAUUGGCCAGAGACCGAUAGCGCACAAGUAGAGUGAUCGAAAGAUGAAAAGCACUUUGGAAAGAGAGUCAAACAGCACGUGAAAUUGUUGAAAGGGAAGCGCUUGCAGCCAGACUUGCUUGCAGUUGCUCAUCCGGGCUUUUGCCCGGUGCACUCUUCUGUAGGCAGGCCAGCAUCAGUUUGGGCGGUGGGAUAAAGGUCUCUGUCACGUACCUCUCUUCGGGGAGGCCUUAUAGGGGAGACGACAUACCACCAGCCUAGACUGAGGUCCGCGCAUCUGCUAGGAUGCUGGCGUAAUGGCUGUAAGCGGCCCGUCUUGAAACACGGACCAAGGAGUCUAACAUCUAUGCGAGUGUUUGGGUGUCAAGCCCGAGCGCGUAAUGAAAGUGAACGGAGGUGGGAACCCGCAAGGGUGCACCAUCGACCGAUCCUGAAGUUUACGGAAGGAUUUGAGUAAGAGCAUGGCUGUUGGGACCCGAAAGAUGGUGAACUAUGCUUGAAUAGGGUGAAGCCAGAGGAAACUCUGGUGGAGGCUCGCAGCGGUUCUGACGUGCAAAUCGAUCGUCAAAUUUGGGCAUAGGGGCGAAAGACUAAUCAAACUAUCUAGUUAGCUGG